AAGGAAGGAAGGAAGUAUGUCGGAUGCUCGGUGAAAAUGUGUGUAAGUACGCGUGCGGUCUCGCGCGGCACGGCGCGGUGCAACGCGGUACAACGAACGAUAAGAAAAAGGGAGAAGGGUGAAAACGAGGAAGCGAUCGGCAGCUCCGGUAUACGUACACGUAUACAUACAUGCAUACAUACAUACAUACAUACAUACGUGGAUAUACACGAUAAGAGGGGAGGGGAGAGAGAGAGAGAGAGAGAAGACAGUGCGUAAUGCACAGGCGCGACGUUAACGAUACAAUGUACGAUGUAGUAGUUAGCGAACGUACCUCGUCUUCACCGGUGGCCACCGUGUUGACGGAGUCCAUACUCUGUGAGAGCGGUGCGUCCAUGAUGCAAGCGAGUUUGCUGGAUGGUCCGGGGUUUCCGGGGGCUGCGGUUCGAGCGGGUGGCGGCGAUGAGUCCACCGUAUCCCGUCUCGGGCGUUUUAAAGCGGGCGGCGUUAUGGUUGUACCGGCGAAGACGACAGGCGCCUCCAGGACGUAUCACUGGAAAUAACCCUUUUCUCGCGAGAAACCCAGGCGUAUCGCCUCCUUCCUCCUUCUCCACCUUUCCCUCCUUUCCUUCCCGUUGGCGAGCACGCGCGCGCACGUAUAUCUACGUACGUACGGCCUGUCUCUGAUACUUUCUUCCGUUCCGUCCUACCCUCUCUCUCUCUGUCUCUCUUUCUUCUCGUCUUCGUUUCGCUUCUUCCGCUUCCUGUUACGUUUCUUCUUGGUCACCUGCACCUCCGCCUCCACCGCCACCACCUCCUCCACCUCCAGCCCUACGACAGCGCGAUGCUGCUGCUGCUGUUGCUGCUACCGUUACUUUCGCUGCACCUGUCACGCGUUGUGCAAGGGCGUCAGGUAAGACCGAUGCAGAGGGAAAGUAAGAGAGAGAGAGGGCCCCAGAGACAGCCAGACAGUGUGAGCUGUACGUGUAGAGUGUGUAUGUAGCCUGCAGGUGUUCCCACGCGUCUAUUUUAGAGCAAUCGAUACACCGUGCCCGUGUAGGAGGGCCGAACCCAGAGAACGUGCUCUACAGUGGCGGUUCGUCGACGACACUUGUUCAUCUACCGGCGGCAGGUCCUAGGUGACUCCGACCCGAGGAAAUUGUAAACUCUAGCUCUGUCGGGCGAAGUUACGACCAAGUUCGUCAAGGGGGAAAAAAAAUGAAGGAUACUCCAGCUUCGUUGCGCGUCUCCUUCCAGGAAACGCGUUACUUCGUGGAAAUUAUGUUGACAACAACGUUGCUAUGGAUAGUUGUGUAUUGUGGUUGUAUAGCGGAGCGCGCACGUUUCACCGCGACGCGAACCACCGAACGCUUUCAACAAUAUACACUAAUGCUGCAGAUGGUAUCGGAUUGCCGAACCUAACCAAAAAAGGAAAAGAGAGAACCACUGCGUGUUACGUUGUUCUACUCGAAAAACGUCGUAACCAUACGCUUUCCCUGAGACUAACAGGUGGAAGCCGUUUGAAACGUGCAGCUUUCCUCGAGAUUAGCAGGUGGAAGAUGCUAUUGGUGUGUUCGUACCGCGGAUUAUUUCGAACCAGAUCUGGAGAAACCACCUUCCCCUCGUAGAAAGCAGAUGGAUGACUUAAUGUGAUGUCGAAGCGUGCUUCUCCUUCCUCCGUUUUCAUCAACAAAGUUGCAAAAAAGAUAACGAUGAAAUUAAAAUGUCGUUAAGUGAAACUUUCCGACAAAAGCUUUCGUUUCUUUCUAAAACAAAUUUUUGCAGCGAAAGAAGUAAGCGGAAUGUUGUUUCUACAAUUUCGUUCUAAAGAACGAAUCGUAUUGAGUUUUAAUUAUAGAUAAGCCAACCGACGCAGUUCAUCCGUUACAAAGCAAAGAUAUAGAGUUGGGUACUUCUUGAAAAUUAUAUAUUAAAGAAAAACGAUUUUCCAACGAUGCCGGAGAAGGAAAUUCUCGUUCCGAGAAAAGUUAUACUCACAAAUAUAGAAAGUAAUAUGGCUGCAUAGUGCAGGCCCGAUGGACAGUAAGGUGUAGCGGAGAAAAUGUUUUAUUGAUGGCUUAUUGCUUGAAUCGAUCGAUGGUUCCACGACAGCAAGUAGAGUAAUAGUUACUUAUGCUUCCCAGUUACUGAAAAUUAAUCAUAUAAUAUUAUUACCCACUAUUAUUUGUAGAUAACUAUUAGAAAUUUAUUUAUAAAAUUGUGUUAAUAUUUCUGCUAUUUGCAUUAUUAAUGAUCUCUGUUAUUUUAUAUUUUCCAUUUGUCGAUAGGAAAACCGUUGAACAUUUUAUUUCAAUUCUAUGAAAUAAACACAAAGUAAUGGCAAUUAAAUACAACUACUCUUGCAGAUGGCAGCUUACGUAAAGAAUAUGAAAUGACUUGCAUGCUAUGAAUUACUGCGGCGCAAAUUUAAAACGAACGUGCAUGUCGUGCUAUUUAUUUCGCUCAAUAAUCGUUCGUACAUGUAAAAACACACAUGUUUAAAAUAAAGUUUCGUGCUGUUUUCUAGAGAAAUUCUAAAAGUAUAUUUUGUUUCGUUGUCGCCAUGAUUCUGAAACUGAAUAGAAUAAAGAAAGGUUACAAAUAUAUCAAAU